GCCGUAGGAAUUUGUGAUAGUGCC
rnacentral:siRNA from 1 species